GCUGGGUGUGGUGGUGUGUGCUUCUAGUCCCAGCUGCUCGGGAGGCUGAGGCAGGAGGAUCACUUGAGCCCAGGAGCUUGGGACUGCAGUGAGCUAUGAUCCCUCCACUGCACUCCAGCCUGGGCAACAGAGCAAGACCCUGUCUCUU
rnacentral:SRP_RNA from 1 species